AAACAUCGCCUCCUGCAACGCAACCGUGUAUAGGAGGUCCAGCCUGCCCAGUGACUACAAGUUCAACGGCCGCGGUAUUUUGACCGUGCAAAGGUAGCGCAAUCACUUGUCUUUUAAAUAAAGACCUGUAUGAAUGGCCAAACGAGGGCUUGACUGUCUCCCCUUUCCAGUCAGUGAAAUUGAUCUGCCCGUGCAGAAGCGGACAUAAGAAUACAAGACGAGAAGACCCUUUGGAGCUUAAGGUACAAAACUCAACCACGUCAAGCAACCCAAUAAAAAGCAAAAACUUUGUGGAACAUGAAAUUUUACCUUCGGUUGGGGCGACCACGGAGAAAAACAAAGCCUCCAAGUGGACUGGGAAAAUUCUCCUAAAACCAAGAGAAACAUCUCUAAGCCACAGAACAUCUGACCAAACAUGACCCGGCUACCCAUAAGCCGAUCAACGAACCAAGUUACCCCAGGGAUAACAGCGCAAUCCUCUCCCAGAGUCCAUAUCGACGAGGGGGUUUACGACCUCGAUGUUGGAUCAGGACAUCCUAAUGGUGCAGCCGCUAUUAAGGGUUCGUUUGUUCAACGAUUAAAGUCCUACGUGA
rnacentral:rRNA from 1 species